GACGGAGGAUGCAAGUGUUAUCCGGAAUCACUGGGCGUAAAGCGUCUGUAGGUGGUUCAAUAAGUCAACUGUUAAAUCUUGAGGCUCAACUUCAAAAUCGCAGUCGAAACUAUUGGACUCGAGUAUAGUAGGGGUAAAGGGAAUUUCCAGUGGAGCGGUGAAAUGCGUAGAGAUUGGAAAGAACACCAAUGGCGAAAGGCACUCUGCUGGCCGACACUGACACUGAGAGACGAAGACUAGGGGAGCGAAUGGGA
rnacentral:rRNA from 1 species